rnacentral:rRNA from 1 species
GACGAACGCUGGCGGCGUGCUUAACACAUGCAAGUCGAACGAGAUCCAUGAUGUAGCAAUACAUCGGAAGAUCUAGUGGCGAACGGGUGAGGAUCACGUGAGAAACCUGCCCCAGACUCUGGGAUAACAAUUGGAAACGAUUGCUAAUACCGGAUGACGUCGGAGAACCGCAUGGUUCACUGACGAAAGAUAUUUCGGUUUGGGAGGGUCUCGCGGCCUAUCAGCUUGUUGGUGGGGUAAUGGCCUACCAAGCCAACGACGGGUAGCUGGUCUGAGAGGAUGAUCAGCCACACUGGGACUGAGACACGGCCCAGACUCCUACGGGAGGCAGCAGUGGGGAAUCUUGCGCAAUGGGCGAAAGCCUGACGCAGCAACGCCGCGUGCGGGAUGAAGGCCUUCGGGCUGUAAACCGCUUUCAGCAGGAACGAAAAUGACGGUACCUGCAGAAGAAGGAGCGGCCAACUACGUGCCAGCAGCCGCGGUGACGCGUAGGCUCCAAGCGUUGUCCGGAUUUAUUGGGCGUAAAGAGCUCGUAGGCGGUUUAGUAAGUCGGGUGUGAAAACUCUGGGCUUAACCCGGAGACGCCAUCCGAUACUGCUAUGACUUGAUACAGGAGGGGAGCGGGGAAUUCCUAGUGUAGCGGUGAAAUGCGCAGAUAUUAGGAGGAACUCCNGUGGCGAAGGCGCCGCUCUGGACUGAAACUGACGCUGAGGAGCGAAAGCAUGGGUAACAAACAGGAUUAGAUACCCUGGUAGUCCAUGCCGUAAACGGUGGGCACUAAGUGUGGGUUCCAACUAACGGGGUCCGCGCCGUCGCUAACG